rnacentral:lncRNA from 1 species
CCAAGGAUAUUGGAUAUCCAAAGGAUAACUCCCAAGGACAUUAUAGCCAAAUUCCAGAACUUCCAGGUCAAGAAAAAAAUAUUCAAGCAGCCAAAAAGAAACAAUUCAAAUAUUGUGAAACCACAGUCAGGAUAACACAGGAUUUAGCAACUUUGUAACAAAUAAAAGGGUGGUCUGGCCAGAGUUAUAAUAAAUUUUUGAAAGAGAGAGUUGGGGGGGGGAGAGAGAUUUCAGCAAAUGUGGUCACCUCCAUGUUGCACUGCCACUUAUCCACAGUCAGCCCAAGGAGUCAGUCUGUUCAUGAGCAGAAAUAAAGAGAGCUCUCUCCUUCCCACAUUCCCAUUUUAAACCCCACUAGCUCCUCCCUCAGUGGCAGACAUUGCACGUUGAUUCUCACAGUGAUACUGACUCUCACAGUGAUGCAGAUGCUCACACUGAUUCCAGGGGAUGCUAGGUCAUUAAGAUAUGUCAUUACUCUAUAAUACCCACCACUGGUGUGCUGCAGGAUGGAGGUAUUUUACUUCACACAGAUUUUACAAUAAAGGAUAACAGGGCCUGGAAUACAAUAUUCCAGAGGGCAAAAGUGCUAGUAUUUCAACCAAGAAUCAAUUACCAAAAAAAAAAACUGAACAUAAUCCUUCAGAGAGAAAAAAAUGGAUAUUCAAUGAAAUAAAGGACUUUCAAGAAAUUCUGAUGAAAAGACCAGUGCUGAAUGGAAAAUUUGAUUUUCAAAUACAAGACUUAAGAAAAGCAUAAAAAGGUGGCUCAUCCUGGGGAAGUUUAACAUUCUAGACUGGAUUCCCCCCCCACCUCAUCCCCCAUCUGUCUGGGAUAUUUCCUCCCAAGGUCACUGGGUAUAUGCAAACUGAUUCUACCAUCAGAAAAUUUUUCCUAACCUGGUCCUACGUAUGGAGGAGGAGAGUAAGAUGAUGGAAGCUAAAAAAGCAAAUGCUCUUGUUACUGAUAGCAGUAUCCCCACUUCACAGAAAAGAUCUGCAUCUCCUGAUCAUCUCCUGAUCGUGUCAAAAAACUCUUGAUUAAAUAGAACAUUGGGAUAAAUCCAAUAAGAUAAACUUCAUUAGAGAAGCAAGAACCAAUAGCAAUGAAGAUAUGUUACAGAGAGACAAAUAUAGAUGUGAUGUAAGGAUAAACAUUUCCCUCCAUUAAAGCUGUUUCAAAGUAGAAUAGGUUGAUGUGGGAGAAAAUGCAUUUCCCCUCAUUGGUGGUCUUCACGAGAAGCUAGCCACUAUUUGUUAUAUAUAUUAUAAUGAAGAUUCCUUUCACAUAUGGAUCAUAUGGCUACAAACUCUCAAAUUUUGUGAUGCUAUUAACUCCAUGACAAGUACUUUUAUUCAGUUCACUAAAAUUUUUGCCCCAACUCUAAGCUUUUCAUCUCUGUCCUAAAUUAAUUCACUGAAAUUUAAGUCCAAGAAAAGAAAUUAAAAUUCUUUUGGAACAAGGACUAUGCCUCACUUUGCUCUGUGUGUGUGUUUGUGUGUGUGUGUGUGUGUGUGUGUGUGUGUGUGUCCCUGUUGGUUCUGGCACCACACUCUACUUACAGAGUUUAUAGAAUAAAUGUUGACAGAAGAAAUAACA